rnacentral:rRNA from 1 species
AACGAACGCUGGCGGCAUGCCUAACACAUGCAAGUCGAACGAGACCUUCGGGUCUAGUGGCGCACGGGUGCGUAACGCGUGGGAACCUGCCCUUAGGUUCGGAAUAACUCCCCGAAAGGGGUGCUAAUACCGGAUAAUGUCUUCGGACCAAAGAUUUAUCGCCUUUGGAUGGGCCCGCGUUGGAUUAGCUAGUUGGUAGGGUAAAAGCCUACCAAGGCGACGAUCCAUAGCUGGUCUGAGAGGAUGAUCAGCCACACUGGGACUGAGACACGGCCCAGACUCCUACGGGAGGCAGCAGUGGGGAAUAUUGGACAAUGGGCGAAAGCCUGAUCCAGCAAUGCCGCAUGAGUGAUGAAGGCCUUAGGGUUGUAAAGCUCUUUUACCCGGGAUGAUAAUGACAGUACCGGGAGAAUAAGCACCGGCUAACUCCGUG